CCACACAAGAGACGCAAACGCAAUGACGCUUGACGGCUUGAGGCUUGAGUGCUUGACGCUGCAGAGCAGCCGAAGUGCCGAACAGACAGAGACAAGAGACGGCGCUUGGCUUCUGCCUUCUCCUUCCCUCACGCUCUCGGUCUCUCCCUCUCUCUCCCCAAAACCUAAACCCUAGAGCCGCCAGCCGCCAUUGUCCGUGGAGCAGAGCAGGCUGCAGCACCGCCGCGCCGGUGUGCGGCGUGCCGGCGUGUGCCCUCCGCCGUCUGCCCAUCUGUUCUUCGCUGUCUGCUCAAUACACGGUGAGCAGUCUGUUCUUCGCUGUCUGUUCGUCUUCCCCGACGGCGCCCUCGCCCUGUAUUGCUGUCCGGCCUCCGACGCCCACUUGCCUCCAUGGAAGCCCAAGAACCGGAUGCACACGAAGGUCAUUCACGUCCGCCAAUACCACGAAUUUCCGGAUCAAUGAUUAAGCGCACGAGCACGAGGAAGAAGCUUAUGCCAGCAGCUAAGAAGAUUUCAGCGGCUGCUAGCACUGCACCUUCAUCAUCCACAUCUUGUUGUGGUGCUGUCUCUGUAUCUAUAGAAAAGCAACUUGAUGUUGUGAUGGAGGAGGGGCAAGGGGAGGAAUUGGAGGUUAUGUUGUCGGAAUCAGAUGACAGUGAAUUUGAUCUUGAUGAUGAGUUUCCACCUUCCACUGAUGGAGAUGAGUUGUCAAAAACUGAAAAGACAAAGAGAGGAGGAAAGAGGUCAAGAGCUGGUAUUCAGUUGUCCCCAUCCAAGUGCAAGGCGAAUAGAGUAAAGAGGGCUGGUUGCUGGAAGUAUUUUAAGGUGGUCACUGUUGCUUCUAGAAAGGAACUUGGGGUUAUGGAGACAAAAGCCAAGUGCAAGUUCUGUCAUAGAUCUUAUUUGUACCAUCAAGGGGGCAGCACUACAACACUAAACCGACACCUAGACAAGUGCACACAGUAUUUGAACAAGCUGGCACAAGCUAAGAAAAAUCUUGCUCAAGGUAGUCUCUCCUUUACUUCAGAUGGUGGACCUGUUGUUGUUAAUCCCACUGAAUAUGAUCAUGAGCACACUAGAGUGUUAAUUGCCAAGAUGAUAAUUGUCCAUGAAUAUGCAUUUAGAAUGGUAGAGCAUAAAUGGUUCAAUAUCUUGAUGAAAUGGAUGAAUAACAAUUAUGAAUCUAUUGGUAGGAAGACUAUUAAAAAUGAAUGCAUGAAGAUCUAUGAAUCUGAGAAAGAACUAAUCAAGAAGAGUCUUAGAGAGGCUGAAUCAAUAAGUUUAACCACUGAUUUAUGGACAUCAAAUCAAAACAUUCAGUAUAUGUGUUUAGUGGCACAUUAUGUUGAUGUUGAUUGGAUCUUGCAAUGUCGUGUUUUGAACUUUAUUGAAUUGGAUCCUCCACACACUGGUAUUGUCAUAGCUCAGGCUGUUUUUGAAUGUUUGGUUGAAUGGAAAAUUGAGGAUAAGAUCUUGACAAUCACUCUUGAUAAUGCUUCUAGUAAUGAUUCUGCUAUUACAAAUCUGAAGUCCAAGUUUCUUGCUAGAAAGAACUCGAGCUUUGACCCUAUGUACUUUGUAGAAGUUUGCAACCAAUAUUCUGUUAAAGUAGGACAAGGGUUGUGCCUUGAUGUUAAAACAAGGUGGGGUUCAACAUACAAAAUGCUAGAUUCUUGCCUUGACUAUAAGGAGGCCUUUGGUUACUAUUCUGAAAUAGACAACAACUAUGAAUGGAAACCUUUAGACUAAUGUGUCCAUAGAUGAGAAACACUUUGAUCUGCUUAACUAUUGGAAGGUGAAUAGUCAUAGAUUUCCUGUGGUAUCUUCUAUGGCAAAGAGGUUCUUGGCUGUUCCAGCUAGCAGUGUGUCAUCAGAAUCCACUUUUAGCACUGGGGGUAGGAUCCUUGAUGAUUACAGGAGUUCAUUGAAGCCAGCAACAGUUCAGGCUUUGGUGUGUGCUUCUAGUUGGAUACGCGGGUCUCGAAGUUCACCUAUUCUUUUAACUGGAGAAGGUGAUGAUGGUGACAUCGAGUCCGUGGAAUUUCCAAAGUGUGUGGUGGCAAGUAAUUAGGCACAUGGUCACAUACUCACAUGGAGGAGAUGGAGGAGAGGGAGAGAUAGGACCCGAGAGAGGACAUGAGAGGCACAUGGUCAUUAUAUUUUGUUGGCUGUAACUGUAAGCCUGUAAUUGUUGGUUGCAACUGUUGCUAACCUGGCAUAUUUUGUUGGCUCCCUACAACUUUGUCCUGAACUCCUGAACCUGAAGUCCUGAUCUAUAAUUGUUGGCUGCAUCACUGCGUGUAUUUUGGUUCUAGAACUGAAACUCUGAAAGUAUGGAAUUAUGGAUUAUGGAAUGGAACUAUUAUGAACUAUAAGUCUAUAAUUGGUGGCUGCAUGUAUUUCAAUAUACAAUUAUUUUUUGUUUGUUUAAGUGAAUGAGAUGGCUGCUAUUUUGUAAA